GUUUUAAAGUAAGCCCUAAAUUUUUACUUUCCCCUUUCUCACUCCCCUCUGCCAAAAAAUUUCCACUUUUCUCUCUCUAAUAUUGAAGCAGCUCCCGCGCGCAAGGUCGUCGUCCUCACCUCCCUCAACUCCAUUGAAGGAGCUCCAAGCUCAGUUCAAUCUUUUGCUCCUCUCAUUCUCACUCUUCUCCUCCAUUGAAGCGCACUUUGAGUUCUCCAUUAUUGAAGCGCACUCCGAGUUCUCCAUUAUUGAAGCGCACUCCGAGUUCUCCAUUGAAGGGCUUUUUGAGUUCUCCAUUGAAGCGCUAUCUGAGUUCUCCAUUGAAGCGCUCAUAGUUCUCCAUUAAAGCGUUUUAUUUUUUUCCCCAAAUUAUGCUUCUCUGAUUGGUGGGUGGUGUUUGCGUGGGUUUGGUUGGAGUUGAGGUGGUGAAUUGGUUGAUGAUUGUUGUUGUUGCGAGUGGAAACAGGGGAAGGGCGUGGUUCAGGUGGUUGCGGUUUUGUGUGGUGGUGGUAGAACAGGGGAGAAUUGCGGUUAUUGGUGUUGGUGGGGUGAUUGGAGUUGCGGCUGGCAGUUGGUGAAUUGGGGGAAAGCAGUGGUGGACUGGUGGUUUGCGUGGUGGUGGUAGUGGCUGCUGUUAAAGGUGGCUGAAGGUGGAGGUUGGUGAUUUGAGUGGCUGAAGGUGGUGGUUGGUGAUUUGAGUGGCUGAAGGUGGUGGUUUGCGGCUGUAGUGGUUGAGUGUGGUGGAGAUGGAAGCAGGGGAGAUGUGUUUUGGUUGUGUUGGUGUGUAGGGUAAGGUGAAGUGUGGUGAAGGUUUAGGGGCAGCAGCUUGUAAGACAUUUUGUUGAACUUGAUUGACUCGGGUCCCGAACUUCCAAUGCAAACCAUUUGACUUUGAAACAUAAGGUUCUGGAUGGGUGUGGCUCGGACUUGACACACAGUCGAAGAAGCUUCUUGUUGAAACCACUCCAAAUCAGGUUUAAAGGAAGUUGUUCAAACAGACAAGGCUCCUGCGGCAUUGGGACCAUAUUCUCAAGCCAUUAAAGCAAACAACAUGCUUUGUAUCUGGUGUUCUGGGUCUUGUGCCUGAGACAGGAAAUUUUAUAUCAGAAAAUGUGGAGGAACAAACUGAGCAUGUAAUGAAAUUUUUUGCAAACUGACAUGGUUCUCAAAAACAUGGGUGAAAUUUUGAAAGCUAGUGGGGCAACUACUCUUCUGUAGUCAAAACAACCAUCAUGAUUUUUGUCCAAGGACCGCCCCGUAUGAUGUUGACGAGUUGAAUGUGGUUCGAGAACAAUGGGUGCAAUACUUUAGAAGUAAAUAUUUAUUGAAUGCAUAACUAUUAGCUUAGGUAGAACAACGUAAUAUUUUUAGUGUUGUUGUAUAUGUUGGAUAAAUUUAUACAAAUUUUUAUUUGUAAUGUGUUACUACUUCAGUUUUUAUAUUACGUUAUAUUAAUUUUUACGAAAGAUUGUUACUACUUCAGUUUUUAUAUUACGUCAUAUUAAUUUUUACGAAAGAUUGUUCGGUAUA